rnacentral:lncRNA from 1 species
GGCGGCCAAUGGACUCAAAAUCGGGUUUGUUUCUCCCACAAACUGCAAUAACUUCUUCCCUCGCUCUCCGCUGCCACAUUGGAUGAUUGGCUAAGAGAACCAAAGUCCAUGUGAGCCACACAGAGGUGGUCUCUUGGCCGGCAAAGUAGAAUAGCUUGCACUCAUGUAUUACAUCCUCUAUUGAGAUACUGUAGCCCUCGGCAUUGUUCACACUACUUAGCUGCAACAGCAAGCCUAGCAAGUCAUCGCCGACGGAUUCUUCUCUUCUCAUCAUACUCAACUUUUUAUCGAUCAUUUCUCUUAGCAUGCCGUUGACUUGUUUGUUUAUGUACUUUCGCCUCCUGUUCUUUGCUGUUGGCAGAAACCNGUUUGUUUCUCCCACAAACUGCAAUAACUUCUUCCCUCGCUCUCCGCUGCCACAUUGGAUGAUUGGCUAAGAGAACCAAAGUCCAUGUGAGCCACACGGAGGUGGUCUCUUGGCCUGCGAAGUAGAAUAGCUUGCACUCCUCUAUAACAUCCUCUAUUGUGAUGCCGUAGCCCUCGCUGUUGUUCACGCUACUUAGCUGCAGCAGCAAGCCGAGCAAGUCGUCGCC